CUCAGCUUGGUAGAGCACUUGGUUUGGGACCAAGGGGUCGUAGGUUCGAAUCCUGUCUUCCCGAUA
rnacentral:tRNA from 1 species